rnacentral:misc_RNA from 1 species
AACGGUCUAUACCUGCGGUACCUGCGGAGGGAUCAUUAAUGAGAAGCUGCCCCUCGUGGGUAGACCUCCCACCCUCUGUGAACUUACCUUUGUUGCUUUGGCAGGCCCGUCCUCUGGACCGCCGGCUUCGGCUGGCCCGUGCCUGCCAGAGGAUUCCAAACCCUGUCUGUCAGUGUUGUCUGAGUCUAUAUGAAAUCGUUAAAACUUUUAGCAACGGAUCUCUAGAUCGGAAGAGCACAC